rnacentral:lncRNA from 1 species
AAUUGAGCCAAAGCAGCAUAUUGAGCCAAAUGAAGGUUCUCAGAUAUAAAAGGAGAGGCAUCAAAGGAGACUCACACAAAUUGAAACUUUGCUUGAUACAUUGAAAGUUGGAAAGUGGUGGUAUCAGCAUCCUUGGAUGCUCAAUCCACUGUCCAAAAUAGAUGUAAAACAUCAAAAGUAUCAGACACCAAUGUUUUCCAAAGUGAUAACUAAGAAAUCGAUGAAGAUGAAUAACAAAGGGAAAAAAAAGUUCUUCAAAUUCAAGUCCAAAAAGAGGAGAAAUAUGAAGAAUUUGUUUACAAAGAUCAUCUGUCUAUCUAUGCAAAAACUCAACCAACUGUGAAUAAACAUCAAGAAAAAAUUAUACAAAUGAGGCAUAAAUAUGUUGCAGCGGAAGAUUUCCAGACGACAAAAUUGGGAAAACAAGAAAGGUAUGCACAUCUUGAAACUAUUCUGGAUACGUUGAAAUUUGGACAGUGGUGGUAUCAGCAUCUUCGGAAGCUCAACCCAAUGCUCAAAAUUCAAUGGAAAACCGUUAAAGUAUGAAGAAUACCAGUAGCUCCCAAAUAGAAGUCAGAAAAAAGUGACCGUUCAAGAAUGAUACAACUCGAUUAGGUGCAACAAAUUCAAGAAUAACAAGCAUAUGAGCAAAAUGUGGACACAAAUCUAUGAGAUAAAUAGGAGAAAAAAGAGAAUACCGACCUUAAGCGCAAACACAUGACAGGACCAAAUUAGAAUAGAGACCACCGCUUUCAACAAAAGCCACCACCAGAUCUGGGCACCAAGAAAACACACAUACAAGAGAUCUUUGAGGAACAAAACAAGAAGAAGGAGAAAAUGGGAAGAUGAACAGGAAAACAGGGAAAUUAUCAAGAAGCUGGAAGGAGAAUACAAAAAUUAUACCUUAGCUAAAUGGAGGAAAUGGAUCGAUGCAUUGAAGCUUGAAAAGCUUGCUAGCAAAAUGAAGAAGUAGCUCUGAAUUUUCCAAUUUCAAUUUGGAAACAUACUUAACUUUUGUUUC